AGAGAGGCACUGCACUAAUAAAUGUGGAAGAAUGCCAGCUCUGUGGAAAUAUUGACAGGUCUGGUGUAAAAUUCAGUUUUUCCAAUACCACUCCAACUAAACAGAACGAAUGGAACAUUAGACUCUCAGGGCCUGUGGCUGCAGGUACAUCACUCACUGAACACCUUCCCAGCUAUGCAGCUAAGGGGCGAAGGCCGAUGUUCUGCUUAAAAUCACAAGCCUACCAGCACUUCUUCUGCAGCAGAUACUUCUAUUCUCGAAGAGCUCGUGAAAAUAUGAAGAUGACUAGGGGAAGAGAUCCCAUACAUUUUGGAUGAAGAACACACUGAAGAGUUAAUAUAAGAGUCGUGUGGCGUAAGAGACUCCACACUGGACACAGCAAGAUCUUUCAUACAUGAUACUUCUAUUCCUGAAGAGCUCGUGAAAAUAUGAAGAUGACUAGGGGAAGAGAUCCCAUACAUUUUGGAUGAAGAAUACACUGAAGAGUGUAUGCAAGAGUUGUAUGGCGUAAGAGACUCCACACUGGACACAGCAAGAUCUUUCAUACAUGGUCAGAGCUCAUAGCCAACCAGAAGAUAAGAAUCUGCCAUCUACUAAAGCUUUUACUUUGUCAAUGUCAAGAAAUAAAAAAAGUAUACACAUAGAGGAGACAGAUACUGAUAGAAAAAGGGCAAUAUUCUGGGUGAUACAACAUUAGAACUGCAGGAGGCCAUAGCAUAGGAGACUAAAAGUUUUGCCACAGACUUCCUGAGGUGAUAUAGUCCGAAUCUUCUUCAAUGCUGAUUCCAUCACCCGCUGGUAUUUGUAUAAUAUGGAACUUUUCAAACGAAACAUUAGCAAUGUUUUAAAGGACUAUGUGUGAAUGUAGUCUCCUCUCUUGUUAUUGCUGUCCAGUUGAGCUGCUUCUGUUGAAGAAGCUCAAGAAGGACCUGUCCAUACAGGUUUUCACCUGAAGGUGUAGGCUGUUGAGCAGGACUGUGCUGUGAAAUACUAAUAAACUGUAUAUAUUUAAAAUUGUGGUACUAUUCUAGUUCUAAAGUAUCUUUGACCCUCAAUCUGUUCACACCACUUUUGGAUGCAUCACUUGUGGUUUCUCUGUGAAACAAUAUACUUGUCUGUGAAUUGGUAUUAUUAAUAUGUAACUCACACUGGUAUGUUAGUUCAAUUAUAUUAUUGUUGGUGAGCAAAGAUUUAUUGGGCAAUUUGAGAAAGCAUCCUUUUUAACCACAUAGCACUCAUAUAAGCCAGUUUUUAUAUUCAGAGCCAUGUCCCAUCAGGACAAGAAUGUGAAAAUGAAUUCAGAUGUCAUGCUGUUGGUAUGGUUCAAAUGAGGAGUGUUCUGACAUCUCACAUAGCCAGCUGGAUAACUGCAAGGUGCAGGUGUUUCCAAGAAUACCUGGCAUGGCUUAUGAACACUGGACUAUUUAGCCUCAGGCUUCCUGACCAAAAUACUCUCCUAACACUGUGUCAAGAUGAGAAGCACAUCAACUCAUAGAAUAAUUCUUAAAUGUUACUAUGUCAGACAGUGGCAACUUCUUGAAGAACCUACUGAUAACUAUAGGGGAGAAAGAAAAAUCCCAAGAGAAGGUGACUGUAUAUAAGCAUGUCAAGUGUCAAUCUUAUAUACAUAAGACAUUCCUUUGGAUCGUUUCUUUACAGUAAGUUGGCAGUGCUUCUGGACUGAGAACUGUGUUUUCCUGUUGCUAGCAGUUGCCAUGAAUUUACUGGAAGCACUGACUCAUGCUUAAUUAGUGGUGCCUUGGCUUAUUUUUAUACUGUUUUUAUGUAUUUGGAGUAUAUGCUAUUUUUAAGGCACAUAUUGUUCUUCUAAAUAUGUCAUUGUAAUACGGCAUAAUGAUUUUUACGAUAUUGAAAUUCAAAGAAAAUAUCUUUUCAAUAUCUUGUUUUGACUUAAUUCCAAGCAGACAAAUCUAUGGAUGAUAAGCUUUCUUCAUAUAAGUCAGUUAAUCAAGUAAUGGAUUGCCUGUUAUCUAAUACAUGGAUUUGGCUCCUAAAUUUCUCAGAGAUAAUGAAAUGAUACCGACUAAUAUGAUUGCACAGCUCUUUGCAUUGAAAAAAGUCAACAUUUAUUUUCCAUCUGAAGGGAGAGCAGGAAAGUGUUAAUGUCUUAAAACCAUGACAAAUCUCAGUGGAAAACACCUUUGCUUGUAGUGUUUGUUCACCACAUGGUGCAUGCCUCAGAGGGUGUUAAAUCAGCAAAACUGCUGAAUUUGAAAUAUAGGGAACAUUUAUCUGCCUCUGAAUUCAGUUAUGCUAUGUGCAAAGAUCCUGAAUAGAAUCUGAUAGUAUAACAGCAAUGUAGAAUUGCAUAUUAAACAUACCUAACCUGUCAUUAAAAACCUCUAAUUACAGCCAUCAGAUGAGUCCUUGUGCUGCUACUUGUCAUGUUAGAUGUAUACAUCAUUUUAAUGGAAGAAGAUAGUAUUUCUGAUUAUGUCGCUUAAUGUACAAUAUAUGAAAGUUAUGGGCCUGAACCUGUUCCCAUGGAGGUCAAUGACAGUUUUGCCAUUGUCUUCAAUUAGAGCAGGAUGUGGCUUUAUGACACUAGAUAUUCAUUUGCAUUAAUUAAUUUACUUAGUAGGUAAUGAAAAACUCGAAAAAACAGCCCUCUGGCUCAUGAGUCUGGCAUUGUGCUUAAUACUCUCAUUAGGAAUAAUUGCACUGAUAAACUUUUAAGCAGAAACAGUUAAGAUGGAUCAGUGUAAAAUCAAGCUUAUCAGCAGUUGACUGAGCCUACCUUCUAUGUUACAACCUCGUCUGCUUUUAUUCUUCUCUGACUGGGAUGUAGAAUCUUUAAUGCUUAGUAGUGUAGAUGAAAGUGUGAUCUUUUCAAACUUUAUGGAUUUAUAUAUUUUAUAUAUCAUGAAGGUACUGGCUCAGCAAAUGCCAUAGAACUGGCAGCUGAGUUUUUGGGUCUGCAAUCUCACUGAGGAAGGCAAGGAUAGAUAGGUAAUGAGAUACAGUGGGCAGAUAGGUAAUGAGAUACAGUGGUUCUUUCAUAUCAUGGUUGGAGCUGGAGCAACAUAUGUGGGAAUAUCCAUAUAGAAAUUGCUAAAUGUAAACACAGCUCUUUGGAACUAAGCUCCUAUAGUGUGCUUUGAUUUCUAAAAUCAAAAAUAAUACAUCAGUCUCCCAAGUUUUUUCAUUUUUAAGCUGAUAGCAGUACCUAUUAUGCUAGCAGCAGUCUUAUGUCUGAGAAAAAUAAGAGGCUGUGAAAAUGGUGACGGAGCCAAACUAGCAGGAAUGCACUAUGACAACCAGUAAGCCAUAGGGGAUGUAUGUGAGUUCUAAAAUAUGCAGUCUGGGACUGAAGAAUUAGAAGGAAUUGAUACAUACCACCCUGCACAGAAAGGUUAGGAAUCAAAUGAUCUUCCAGUGAGCUAACAGUGGCUGGAGGACUUCAUUCUCACUUGCUGAAGGGGUGGAAUGUGGGUUUCUAUGAGCUGGUUGAGUUUAGCAUUCUGUGUCAUCUUGGCAAAAUGACUUCUACUUCUGGAUGCUAUUUCUACAGCCUGGGGACAAUGACUUCUCUUUACCUUGUAAGGUUUUUGGUUGUGUUGGCUUUGUAAGGUAUUUGGCUAUCUGUGUGUUGAGAACCAUAAAGUACCCACAUCAAUUGAAAACCCGUCAGUCAGAGCUUGAAAACUCAUCAGUCUCUGUAUUUGGAGCUUUUUAUUAGAUUAAGAAAAAAAAAAAAGUGAGACAAUAUUAGCUUGGGGUCUGCUUGCCUCCUUUAGCAUAUUGCUGUGACUGCCUUGGAAUAUUUUUAGCCAGGCAUGCUGUAGUUUAUGGACAUUAUUGUAGAAAUACUUGCUGAGAAAAGCUGUUUCAUUAAUUGGGUAGUCUCACUGUAAACCAUGUGAUAUCCCAGAAGACACUUUAUAAAUAAAGU
ensembl:lncRNA